GGCGGCGUGCUUAACACAUGCAAGUCGAGCGGAAAGGCCCUUCGGGGUACUCGAGCGGCGAACGGGUGAGUAACACGUGAGCAACCUGCCCCAGGCUUUGGGAUAACCCCGGGAAACCGGGGCUAAUACCGAAUAUGACCUCCGAUCGCAUGGUUGGUGGUGGAAAGUUUUUCGGCUUGGGAUGGGCUCGCGGCCUAUCAGCUUGUUGGUGGGGUGAUGGCCUACCAAGGCGACGACGGGUAGCCGGCCUGAGAGGGCGACCGGCCACACUGGGACUGAGACACGGCCCAGACUCCUACGGGAGGCAGCAGUGGGGAAUAUUGCACAAUGGGCGGAAGCCUGAUGCAGCGACGCCGCGUGAGGGAUGACGGCCUUCGGGUUGUAAACCUCUUUCAGCAGGGACGAAGCGUAAGUGACGGUACCUGCAGAAGAAGCGCCGGCCAACUACGUGCCAGCAGCCGCGGUAAGACGUAGGGCGCGAGCGUUGUCCGGAUUUAUUGGGCGUAAAGAGCUCGUAGGCGGCUUGUCGCGUCGACUGUGAAAACCCGCAGCUCAACUGCGGGCCUGCAGUCGAUACGGGCAGGCUAGAGUUCGGUAGGGGAGACUGGAAUUCCUGGUGUAGCGGUGAAAUGCGCAGAUAUCAGGAGGAACACCGGUGGCGAAGGCGGGUCUCUGGGCCGAUACUGACGCUGAGGAGCGAAAGCGUGGGGAGCGAACAGGAUUAGAUACCCUGGUAGUCCACGCUGUAAACGUUGCGCGCUAGGUGUGGGGGGCCUCUCCGGUUCCCUGUGCCGCAGCUAACGCAUUAAGCGCCCCGCCUGGGGAGUACGGCCGC
rnacentral:rRNA from 1 species